CUUUUGGAACUUCUGGAAAAGUCCCUGUGCUGAGGACCGCUGAAUCUGAGAAGAGUCAGGAGCAGAGCUGGAAACCACUUUUCCGCACCCCCUCUUCCCAGGCUGGGGACCCUUUCCUUCCCCAGGAUGUCGUGGUUGCAUCGCCCUCCGCUGUCUGGUUUCUUCAGGAAGCAGUGGGAUCAUAGGAGGCUCCCUGGUCCUCAUCUUGAAGGCUAGCAACUAGGCAUCUCCCAGCUGUCAUCCUCCAGCUCAUCAGUGUUUCAGAGAGCUGAUGGAGCGCACGGACAGGAGUAUGUGGGUACCCAGGCUAGCAAAGGAAAUUAACUGCAGUGGCAUGGGGAGCCCACUCCCACCCUGGCCAGUCGGCUGCAGCAGCCCCA